rnacentral:rRNA from 1 species
GAUGAACGCUGGCGGCGUGCUUAACACAUGCAAGUCGAGCGCGUCUGAUUUGAUGCUUGCAUUGAUGAAAGAUGAGCGGCGGACGGGUGAGUAACGCGUGGGUAACCUGCCCUAUACACAUGGAUAACAUACUGAAAAGUUUACUAAUACAUGAUAAUAUAUAUUUACGGCAUCGUAGAUAUAUCAAAGUGUUAGCGGUAUAGGAUGGACCCGCGUCUGAUUAGCUAGUUGGUGAGAUAACUGCCCACCAAGGCGACGAUCAGUAGCCGACCUGAGAGGGUGAUCGGCCACAUUGGAACUGAGACACGGUCCAAACUCCUACGGGAGGCAGCAGUGGGGAAUAUUGCACAAUGGGCGCAAGCCUGAUGCAGCAACGCCGCGUGAACGAUGAAGGUCUUCGGAUCGUAAAGUUCUGUUGCAGGGGAAGAUAAUGACGGUACCCUGUGAGGAAGCCCCGGCUAACUACGUGCCAGCAGCCGCGGUAAUACGUAGGGGGCUAGCGUUAUCCGGAUUUACUGGGCGUAAAGGGUGCGUAGGUGGUCUUUCAAGUCGGUGGUUAAAGGCUACGGCUCAACCGUAGUUAGCCUCCGAAACUGGAAGACUUGAGUGCAGGAGAGGAAAGUGGAAUUCCCAGUGUAGCGGUGAAAUGCGUAGAUAUUGGGAGGAACACCAGUAGCGAAGGCGGCUUUCUGGACUGCAACUGACACUGAGGCACGAAAGCGUGGGUAGCAAACAGGAUUAGAUACCCUGGUAGUCCACGCUGUAAACGAUGAGUACUAGGUGUCGGGGGUUACCCCCCUCGGUGCCGCAGCUAACGCAUUAAGUACUCCGCCUGGGGAGUACGCACGCAAGUGUG